rnacentral:lncRNA from 1 species
AUGAUAGUGAGAAAGAACCUCAUCCCCAAAUACCCAUUUCAUCGCCUCUCUUUUAGAUCUGAGACCCUACAGCGCUCUCUCUCAAAUUCAUGUCCGCCAUCGCAAAAAUAACCACCGCUGAAACCAGUUGGAACCAUCUUCCAUCGAUCUUACAGCUAGGGUUCAACCAUCUUCCACCGCUGAAACCAGUUGCAACCAUCUUCCAUCGAUCUUGCUGCUAGGGUUCAACCAUCUUCCACCGCUGAAACUAGUAAUGAUGUUCGUACCCCAAGCAUGUGAUGCUUCAGAUGUGAAGGACAGGUCGGGUAUUGGGUCCUAACAAAUUUUAGCCAAAACAGGAAUCGGUAGUUGGUGGUGUACAAACAAUGCUUAGAAUAGCAGAGGACAAGUUUCACGAUGGAUAUGUUAUGCAAGGAAAACUGUACAUAUACGACCUUUGGAUGACGUUAUAAGCUCCAUCAAUGGAUGGUAUAUGGAGCGUGGCCUUUUUGCCUUGGUAUUUCUAGGGCUAGCUGUUUAAGGUUCAUAUAACCUUAUGAAUCUUGAAUGACUCAAUUUGGUUAAAGUCUAUUGGGAACAAGUUAGGAAUGGCGCCUUCGACUGAAAAACGGGCCGCUGAAGCCAAGUUUAACGAGGAUGGAAAUACAGGUUGGAAGAGUCAGACUAAGUAAGAUGAUGAAACAGUUGCAGUUGUUGAAGGGGCACUGGAGUCAUUCAAGCUGCACUCGGGUUUUUCAGAUUGGGUUUUCUGAUCGAUUUUCUGUCACAUGCUGCGAUUGUGGGGUUCAUGGGAGGAGUGGUCGUUACCAUUGCGGUUCAGCAACUUAAAGGGUUGUUAGGCAGCAAAGAUUUCAUAGGAACAUUUUAAAAAAUGGAGAUGUCGAUUAUAUUUGUUGAACAACUUACUAAACUAAAACUUGUGUUCAUAAAAUAGAAAAUGGAACUGAUAAGUGUCAAAACAUUAUUAUUUUAAAUUACUUGGUU